rnacentral:rRNA from 1 species
CGUAGGCGGAUAGUCAAAAAUAUAGUAAAAGACUGAGGUUGACCCUCUUCAAGCUAUAUUCACUAGCUAUCUUGAGUUUUAAGGGCGAUAGUGAAUCCUUUAAGUAAGGGUUAAAUUGUUGAUAUUAGGAGACGUUCGAAGGCGAAAGCAAUGAUCGACUUAAAUCUGACGCUAGGUACUAAAGCAUGGGUAUGAAAAGGAUUAGAGACCUUGUAGUCCAUGCUGUAAACUAUGAGUGUUCAACAUCCUUUUGUGGUUUGCUUUUUGUACUCAAAAACAGAAUACAUGAAAGGGGGUUUGAAGCUAACGCGUGAAACACCGCCUGGGGAAUGUGGCCGCAAGGUUAACUCAAAGGAA